CUACCUGCAAACUUAUGCUGGGGAAGAAAAAUCAAAUGGAUUUUUUUAAGGAGCAAACUGAGAUAAUAAGAGCACCACUUAUUUAAAAAGAUUAUGCAGGUUUUUCCAGCAUAUCCAGGAUGACACUUGCACUUGUUUGGCCCGAUACAUUCACCAUGUUUGCAUCGUGGUUGGCACACAGCUGUGAAAAGAAGAUGGCAUGCAUUAUUUCUAGGUCAACGAAACACCAAUCAUAUAGCACUGAUGUCGUGUACUAGAGUUUAAUAAUAAAAGAAAAAAAACUAGAACUUACAACAAAGUAGCCAAAGUAUACAAAAUCAGUUUCCUAUAACCACUCUGUAAGCUACACACACUCACGUGUUAUGUAUGUGUAUGUGUGUGUAUCAGUUGGGGAUGAAAACAAUUUUAAAUUCAAGGAAAAUACUCAAAUAGUCAAAUAAAAGAAAAACUAGGUAAAACUAUG
rnacentral:antisense_RNA from 1 species